ACUCCUACUGGAGGCAGCAGUGGGGAAUAUUGCACAAUGGAGGAAACUCUGAUGCAGCAACGCCGCGUGGAGGAUGACGCAUUUCGGUGUGUAAACUCCUUUUAUAGGGGAAGAUAAUGACGGUACCCUAUGAAUAAGCACCGGCUAACUCCGUGCCAGCAGCCGCGGUAAUAC
rnacentral:rRNA from 1 species